UGGUACUGCGGAGACAUUACUGAUUUGCUUAUUGCACCACAUGUGUUUUUUAUUGAACAAAUUUCUUUGGUGGCGGGAGCAAUCCUACCGCCAGAGGUUAUAACUAAACCAAACUUUUUAUUUACAGUCAAACUUGAUUUAUUAUUACAAUAGUCAAAACUUUCAACAACGGAUCUCUUGGUUCUCGCAUCGAUGAAGAACGCAGCGAAAUGCGAUACGUAAUAUGAAUUGCAGAUAUUCGUGAAUCAUCGAAUCUUUGAACGCACAUUGCGCCCUUUGGUAUUCCAAAGGGCAUGCCUGUUUGAGCGUCAUUUCUCCCUCAAACCCCCGGGUUUGGUGUUGAGCAAUACGCUAGGUUUGUUUGAAAGAAUUUAACGUGGAAACUUAUUUUAAGCGACUUAGGUUUAUCCAAAAACGCUUAUUUUGCUAGUGGCCACCACAAUUUAUUUCAUAACUUUGACCUCAAAUCAGGUAGGACUACCCGCUGAACUUAAGCAUAUCAAUAGCGGGAGGAA
rnacentral:rRNA from 1 species